rnacentral:rRNA from 1 species
GACGAACGCUGGCGGCGUGCCUAAUACAUGCAAGUCGAGCGAAUGGAUGGGAGCUUGCUCCCUGAAGUUAGCGGCGGACGGGUGAGUAACACGUGGGCAACCUGCCUAUAAGACUGGGAUAACUUCGGGAAACCGGAGCUAAUACCGGAUACGUUCUUUUCUCGCAUGAGARAAGAUGGAAAGACGGUUUACGCUGUCACUUAUAGAUGGGCCCGCGGCGCAUUAGCUAGUUGGUGAGGUAAUGGCUCACCAAGGCGACGAUGCGUAGCCGACCUGAGAGGGUGAUCGGCCACACUGGGACUGAGACACGGCCCAGACUCCUACGGGAGGCAGCAGUAGGGAAUCUUCCGCAAUGGACGAAAGUCUGACGGAGCAACGCCGCGUGAACGAAGAAGGCCUUCGGGUCGUAAAGUUCUGUUGUUAGGGAAGAACAAGUACCAGAGUAACUGCUGGUACCUUGACGG